UGGGGUGUAGCUCUGUGGUAGAGCACUUGCCUAGCAUGUGAGGCCCUGGGUUUGAUCCCCAGCACUGCAA
rnacentral:tRNA from 1 species